GUGGGACGCUGGGCGGCGGCGGCGUGAGCACUGGGCAAAUUGCUAAAAUUUGAAAACUCAGAUGCCAAACUGUUGGAGGCAGAUUUUUUUAGAUUUUGCUAAAAAACAGAGAUGACAAGUUUGGAUGGGGAGCUGUUGGAGUUGCUCUAAUUAUGCUCAAAAGAUUCGUCUCACGAUUUUUCCUAUAACUAUGUAAUUAGUUUUUAUUUCAUCUAUGUUUAUGCUUUAUUUAGGUGCUCAAAGAUCAGAUGGGAUAUUUUUGGAAAAAAAUUUAAGAAAAAUGUCAGUAGCCUCUAGAAUGUGAACAUGACAGUAACACGCAUAGUACUGGUAUAGUACACAGGGCAGGCUCUUCCAAUUAUAUACUCUCUUUGUUUCAAAAUAAACGUGCCAUUCCUAUUAGAGAGCAC
rnacentral:lncRNA from 1 species